rnacentral:misc_RNA from 1 species
CACCACUCGCAACCGGCUUUGCUGGAUGCGGCGUUGGGGAUCGGCUCCCGCAAGGGUGCCGCCCCCGAAAUGGAGUGGCGGUCUCGCUGUGACCUCCUCUGCGUAGUAACUUCUUUCUCGCAGGCGGAUAGCAGCGCGGCCACGCCGUAAAACACCCAACCUUUCUUAU